CGCUUCUUGAAAAACCCAUAAGAGGUCCAGCCUGCCCAGUGACUCUGUUCAACGGCCGCGGUAUCCUAACCGUGCGAAGGUAGCGUAAUCACUUGUUCUUUAAAUGAGGACUAGUAUGAAUGGCACCACGAAGGUUAUACUGUCUCCUUCCUCUAAUCAGUGAAACUAAUCUCCCCGUGAAGAAGCGGGGAUAAACCUAUAAGACGAGAAGACCCUAUGGAGCUUUAAACACAGUAAUAAAUGCCCCCCCCCUUUUUUUCUAUCCAAAUCUCCGGAAAACUACUUUAUCUGAGCAUCCUAAUUACAAGUUUUAGGUUGGGGUGACCGCGGAGUAAAAAAUAACCUCCACAGUGAAUGGGAUCUCUCCCUAAACUCAGGGCCACAGCCCUAAAAAUCAAUAAAUUGACACCCAUUGACCCAAUAUUUUUGAUCAAUGAACCAAGUUACCCUAGGGAUAACAGCGCAAUCCACUUCAAGAGCUCCUAUCGACAAGUGGGUUUACGACCUCGAUGUUGGAUCAGGGUACCCCAGUGGUGCAGCCGCUGCUAAAGGUUCGUUUGUUCAACGAUUAAAACCCUA
rnacentral:rRNA from 1 species